GGCUGUCUUCCCAUGGCAGAGAACAUAUCCAAAAGGAUAAAAAAUAGGUUUAUGGCUUCAUGGAAUAAGUCAUCGUGUUAAUUGGAAAAAGUUAGAAGUUGAUGUAUCCUUUGAAGCUGGACUUAGUCCAGAGGAGGUGGCAGAAGAUCCUGCCAAGGCCUUUCCAGGAGUCAUUCCAGCAAUCCUAUCUUUACCUUACCUGACCACCAACAUCAUAAAUGGGUGGAAUUUGCAGAAAGCUGUAUAUAUGUUUAGGGAAUGGCAGUUACUUGAAUCAGUAUACAUAGUGCUGGACUUGGGGUCAAGAAUACCUGACUGUUCCACCCAUGGCCAAACUGUUUUGGAGUUGGAAGAGACUCAUCAAGAAAAUCAACUCAGAAUUUGCCAGGAGAGGUGA
rnacentral:lncRNA from 1 species